UAGGGAAUCUUCGGCAAUGGGGGCAAUCCUGACCGAGCAACGCCUCGUGAGUGAAGAAGGUCUUCGGAUCGUAAAGUUCUGUUGUAAGAGAAGAACGUGUUUGAGAGUGGAGAGUUCACACAUUGACGGUAACUUACCAGAAAGGGACGGCUAACUACGUGCCAGCAGCCGCGGUAUUACGUAGGUCCCGAGCGUUGUCCGGAUUUAUUGGGCGUAAAGCGAGCGCAGGCGGUUUAAUAAGUCUGAAGUUAAAGGCAGUGGCUUAACAAUUGUUCACUUUGGUAACUGUUAAACUUGAGUGCAGAAGGGGAGGGUGGAAUUCCAUGUGUAGCGGUGAAAUGCGUAGAUAUAUGGAGGAAGACCGGUGGCGAAGGAGGCUCUCUGGUCUGUAACUGACGAUGAGGCUCGAAAGCGUGGGGAGCAAACAGG
rnacentral:rRNA from 1 species